rnacentral:rRNA from 1 species
UGGGGAAUUUUGCACAAUGGGCGCAAGCCUGAUGCAGCGACGCCGCGUGAGGGAUGAAGGCCUUCGGGUUGUAAACCUUUUUCGCUCAUGGUCAAGCCGCAGCUUUGGGUUGUGGUGAGGGUAGUGGGUAAAGAAGCGCCGGCUAACUACGUGCCAGCAGCCGCGGUAAUACGUAGGGGGCUAGCGUUGUCCGGAAUCACUGGGCGUAAAGGGUUCGCAGGCGGCAAUGCAAGUCAGAUGUAAAAGGCAAAGGCUCAACCUUUGUAAGCAUCUGAAACUGUAUAGCUUGAGAAGUGUAGAGGCAAGUGGAAUUUUUAGUGUAGCGGUGAAAUGCGUAGAUAUUAAAAAGAAUACCGGUGGCGAAGGCGACUUGCUGGGCACAAUCUGACGCUGAGGAACGAAAGCGUGGGGAGCAAACAGG